UGCCAGACUCCUACGGGAGGCAGCAGUGAGGAAUAUUGGUCAAUGGGCGGGAGCCUGAACCAGCCAAGUCGCGUGAGGGAAGACGGUCCUAUGGAUUGUAAACCUCUUUAGGCGGGGAGCAAUGCCGGGCACGCGCGCCCGGAGGGAGAGUACCCGCAGAAUAAGCAUCGGCUAACUCCGUGCCAGCAGCCGCGGUAAUACGGAGGAUGCGAGCGUUAUCCGGAUUUAUUGGGUUUAAAGGGUGCGUAGGCGGAUUUUUAAGUCAGCGGUAAAAUGUCCGGGCUCAACCCGGGCCGGCCGUUGAAACUGGGGAUCCUGAGUGGGCGAGAAGUAUGCGGAAUGCGUGGUGUAGCGGUGAAAUGCAUAGAUAUCACGCAGAACUCCGAUUGCGAAGGCAGCAUACCGGCGCCCGACUGACGCUGAGGCACGAAAGCGUGGGGAUCGAACAGGAUUAGAUACCCGUGUA
rnacentral:rRNA from 1 species